CCGGUCGUGUUUGGUCGGCUGGAGAAAAUCUUCAUUGGGAGAACAGGAGGCGGUUAGGGUUAACCCUAACUCUAACCCUUUUUGGCUCUCAGUUUUGGUCCGGUGCCCUCUUCAUCAUGGCAGGAGCAGAGGAGGGGAGACCUGGUGGGAGGAAGGCCAUCACCUCCAGCAGCCGCGAUGUGGCCCGGAAGCUGCUGCUGCCUCCCCUGGUGGUGCCUGGGGCCACCCGUUCCCUUGAUGACCCAGCCCCUGUGGCUGGACCACCAACGGAACGGGUGAGGCCUCCAAAAAGAACUAAGAGGCCUCCCCAGGAAGCCCAGAGCACCCAGGGGGAGCCAGCACGGGAGGGCAGCCCACCAGCCCUCCCGCGGAGGAUCAGGGCCACUCGGCGGGAGGCCAAAGCCCCGGGUGAGAGCGUGCCUUCUGGGGAGAAACUCCUUCCCCAGCUGGGGGAGGGGAGUCUCCCCAGAAGGAGGCUGGAGGCGGCGGCGGCGGAGCGGGCAAAAAUACUUCAGCCCAUCCCCAGGAGGAACCUGGUCCUUGGGGAGCCUGGGAAGGACUUCUUCCCACUGGGGAAGGGCCGUCCUUCUGGCUUGUCCGGGGAGAUGGUUCCUCCCCAGACUUCUUUAAAAAACCACCCCCGGAAGAAGGCCCUGACCGCGAUGGGCCGGCCUCUGCUGAAGCCCUUACCAUCAUCCUGGCAUCCGCCAGAGGCUCGGCAGAGGCCCGACCUGUUGCCAGCGCUAUCUAUCCGAGCGCUGAGGCUCCCCAAGGCAGAGCCAGCCCCUUCCUCCUGGGGGACUCCGCCGCUCCCCUCCGGCUCUGUGGCCCGUCCACCGCCACCACGCUCUUGCCCGAAGACACGCCCUGGGGGAGAGAGAUCACCACCUGCUCCUCCCCUGGGGUCGUGUCUUAUGGUGCGAGGCCUCCGCGCACGGCCUGAUCCUCCGGUGCCGGGCAGCAGCGGUGGAAGGGUCCCACCAAACACACCCUGCGCGCUGCUGGAGGGGGCCUUCCACUAGGUCUCUCCAACUCUCCCUGCCAUGGUGAAGGGGCCUGGCCAAAGAAUGAAGCCUCAUCGGCUGGUGGUUGAAGGUAAGUCCUUGAAAAAAUUUCCUAUGGUCUUCUAUCCUUCGUUUGCUAUCAUGCCACACAAACAAAGACUAUUUGGACUUCUCUCCUCUCCUCUCUGUCCUGCAGAUUAAUCUUGCUUUCCUCUUUUCCGGCUUCUUUCUUCUUCUCCCUCUUCACUCCCCAUCUGACACAACUCCCCAACUCUGACACAAUCCCACCACAUAUGUUUAUAAGAGCCUAAUUCCAUACACCCUCUCCAACAGUUGACAUUAGAGAUGUUUUUUAUCUUCGCCAACUUCCUUGGGGCCAUAUGCCAUUAAGAUAAUAUUUUAAUCUGUUGCUCCCAUAUUCUAACAUAACUUGUCCAUUUUAAAGGUUUAUUUAACUUAACCCAAUUGAUUGAGUCUAUACAAUUUCCUGUAUCCUGUUCCCAGGAUGGUUUUAUUCCUAAAAAUGAGAAAGCAUCAAGAUUCAACAAGAUAUUAUAUAAUUUUGAGGUAGCUCCACAGGGGUUAACUAAUAACUCUUCAGACAGCUGCUCAAAUGUGACCAAAGAGUGAGUUGCAGCCAUUUUAAACUCAGGAUAUUAUAACUGAAUUAUUUCUAUAAUUGUCAAUAACCAAAAUUUAUCAUUCACUGAAGUUAAUCAAUCUAUCCUUUUAAUCAAUCGAUCUUUGGAAAAUUUGAGGUCCUUGAGUAGAAAUCCUUUAGAAAUCCAAUUUUCUCCUCAAUGCCACCAAUAUUCUUUUGAACAGGACACAUUUCCGGACAUAUAUGUCUUCAUUUCUAAUAAGGGUGACAUCACUGGAAGCAACUUAUUUUGCGAUUUUUUGGCUUCAAGAACGUGUCCUCCUGUAUCCCAGCACCCACCGCCACCCCCACAGCCCACCAGGAGUGGGAUUGCUGUAACCAAGCAGAAAAGCUGGGGAAACGACGCUCAAUGAAAGCCCGUCUGUUAACAGAAGUGUCUUGAGGCCCCAUUAGCCAAAUCCCUGAAGAGAUCAGUCAGAGGGCCAGCACCAGAGAUGCUUUCCCUCAUGACCGGAUGUCAGUAGCACUCUGGAAGCAGGAGGGUUUCACUCCCCACCCUUAAUGGACCAUGCAGCUGGGAAGCAACAGCAAGAGAGAGAAUUUCAUGACUGUCUCUUUUCUUGCUUUUAGUUCCGUCGCUCCCAUGGAGGAACUGGAACAUUGGCCUGGUCUCUCCCAAGAGACUCUCCAGCAAGAUCUCCAGUGACUCUCUGGCUGAAGACCCGAUUGCUGCUGGAAGGUGGGACAGUCUAUGGGUGGCCCCCGCCCACAAAGCAAUGGGACAGAUCAGACUGUGGAUCUUCCCAAGGCUCUGAGUGUUGUGAUUCUAGCAUUUCGUUCUGAGGGUCAUCAAUGGCAGCGUUGGUGAAGAGAAGUCCUAAGGAACUGUGGCUCACAUCAGGACAAGAAGAAGAGGAGAGACGUAGCACAGCCUCCAGACAAUGGCCGGAUAUUGGAGGAGGAUCAGGAUCAGGCAGGAUCAGGCAGAGUCCUCUCCCUUUCCGCUGAUGGUUCAACCACAGGGCUGGGCCAUCAAGGGCAAGGCUGGAUUCCUGUGACACCUGGCUGGUACUGGCCCCAGGGACCAGGGAAGCAGCAGCAGCAGCAGCUUCCGGACCACCAUGUGGCUGCUGGAGGUGAUGGAUUUCCUUCCACCAGAUCUCCCCUCCUGAAAAGAAAGGAAAUGUCUGGGUCUGGCUCUGCCUUGGGAGGCCCCAGCGUCUGGAUGGUCAGCUGUGGCAAGGGGUCGAGCCUCUGCUGAGCUGAUGGCAGCUGCCAAGAUCAUCGGGGUCAGGGUCUUCUUCCUCGGGAUGGUAUUUGAAGAGGACUGGAGAGGAACCUUCUCCCUGGAAGGAUGGUCCUGCUCCUGUGGGAAGAAGCCCCACCCAGGCUUCCUAACAUGUGAUAGACCUGGAUUAAGUUAGCGGGGCGGGGCGGGGUCAGAGUUCUAAUCUUUGGACCUUGCUAUGCCUGUGGCACCCUUGCUGAACUCUCUUUGCUACUCCGCUUAGCUACUCCGCUUAGGGGCAGUUCCGUGCCCCCUUGAUCCCCUUCCCCAGCCAUGACCCAUUCAAACUUGCCUGGCUUCAAAGCCUUGUAAAUAAAUGGAGAGGACAUUUUCCUAGCUGCCAAGAUGAAGGAGAACUGGUCCAAAUGGCGAUCCAAGUUGAGGUGCUUCCUGGCAACUUGACCAAAUGCUCAUCUCAUUCUGGAAGCUUCAGAGUGAAGCUAAUCUGCUUCACUCAUCAUAACUGAUUGCCACCCGCCAUGAGAUGUGGCCAUCCCAUCAGGGUCAGGGUCGCCUUCCUCUGGAUGGAUGGCUGUUGAAGAAGCCCGGGGAGGAGCCGGCUCCCUGGACAGGCCAGGAGGACGGUCCUGCCCCACUGGGAAGAAGUCCCGCCCAGGCUCCCCGAGGUCCAGGCUCCUCCUGGGGAUGGGCUCUAAUAUCUUGGCGCGAUCCACCGCAGCCUCCAGCCUCCUUCCCAGGCAGGGAAGGGGAGACUCAUGAAGAAGGCAUGAAGAAAGGAAAGGAAAGUUAUUCCGAGUGGUUUCUCAGCUUUAUAUGCUGCCAAAAUUCACAUCUCCAGGAGGUUUACAUGAUAAAAGGAAUCUCUAGGUGGUUUGCAUAGACGCUUUGCAUUCUUACUUGGACAAAAGCAAGCCUCAGAAUUUCAGAACUGCAAAUGUUAAGUAUGUUUACCAUGAAAUAUGGUGGCGGGUGGGGUGUGGGGUGGGGGGAGACACACUGCUUGUGGCUGCCCAGAACUAGCUCUUCUUGGGAAUAGCUGGGCCCUCAAGCAAAGAGGUGGGUUCCGGUGAGGCCUGCUUGGUACUGGCCCCAGGCACCAGGGCAGGCAGCAGCAGCAGCCUCUGGACCACCAUGUGGUUGCUGGAGGUGAUGUGCCAGAUCUUCUCCCAGAUCUCUCUUCCUGCGCUCCUGAUAGGAAAAAUAAGUUGCUUUUAUUGUUCAUACCUGUAUAUGCUGCCAAAAUUCACAUCGCAAGGUGGUUUACUUUUCCUCUUCAAAUUUGUUUGGACAAAAGCAAGUCUGGGAAUGGCAUUCAAAUGCAGGAAAGUAGACAGAGAGAUGGUUUUGUGUUGAAGUGGGGUCUUUUUAUUAAGUUCAUUAAUUUCUAGAUUAAGAACAAAUAAUAUGCAUCCCUUUCUUUCAUUUGUUGUAAUUCUGGUGUAGAACUGUAUUUCCCCCCUCCCCCCACCUUGGCUAAUGCAAUAGAUUUAUGUUUUUGACAGAAGACAAAUUCUUCUAUUUGUAUUUGUGAGAAAAUAAAAAGACAGU